rnacentral:rRNA from 1 species
GAUGAACGCUGGCGGCGUGCCUAAUACAUGCAAGUCGAGCGAACGGGCGAGAAGCUUGCUUCUCUGAUGUUAGCGGCGGACGGGUGAGUAACACGUGGAUAACCUACCUAUAAGACUGGGAUAACUUCGGGAAACCGGAGCUAAUACCGGAUGAUAUUUUGAACCGCAUGGUUCAAAAGUGAAAGACGGUCUUGCUGUCACUUAUAGAUGGAUCCGCGCUGCAUUAGCUAGUUGGUAAGGUAACGGCUUACCAAGGCAACGAUGCAUAGCCGACCUGAGAGGGUGAUCGGCCACACUGGAACUGAGACACGAUCCAGACUCCUACGGGAGGCAGCAGUAGGGAAUCUUCCGCAAUGGGCGAAAGCCUGACGGAGCAACGCCGCGUGAGUGAUGAAGGUCUUCGGAUCGUAAAACUCUGUUAUUAGGGAAGAACAUAUGUGUAAGUAACUGUGCACAUCUUGACGGUACCUAAUCAGAAAGCCACGGCUAACUACGUG